AUACGGAGGAUCCGAGCGUUAUCCGGAUUUAUUGGGUUUAAAGGGUGCGCAGGCGGCCAUUUAAGUCAGCGGUUAAAUCGUGGGGCUCAACCCCAUUCUGCAGUUGAUACUGGUCGUCUUGAGUGCAGUAGAGGUAGGCGGAAUUCGUGGUGUAGCGGUGAAAUGCAUAGAUAUGACGAAGAACACCGAUUGCGUAGGCAGCUGACCAGACCGCAAAUGACGCUCAUGCACGAAAGUGCGGGGAUCGAACAGGAUUAGAUACCCUGGUAGUCCGCACAGUAAACGAUGAAUACUUGUUUUCGGCGAUAUAAUGUCGGAGGCAAAGCGAAAGCGAUAAGUCAUCCACCUGGGGAGUACGACCGCAAGGUUGAAACUCAAAGGAAUUGGCGGGG
rnacentral:rRNA from 1 species